GCAGAUGUGGUGGAAUUGGUAGACACGCUAGCUUCAGGUGCUAGUGGCCUAAAGGUCGUGGGAGUUCAAGUCUCCUCAUCUGCA
rnacentral:tRNA from 1 species